GACGAACGCUGGCGGCGUGCUUAACACAUGCAAGUCGAACGGAAAGGCCCUGCUUGCCGGGUACUCGAGUGGCGAACGGGUGAGUAACACGUGGGUGAUCUGCCCUGCACUUCGGGAUAAGCCUGGGAAACUGGGUCUAAUACCGGAUAGGAGCCAUUUUUAGUGUGAUGGUUGGAAAGUUUUUUCGGUGUAGGAUGAGCUCGCGGCCUAUCAGCUUGUUGGUGGGGUAAUGGCCUACCAAGGCGGCGACGGGUAGCCGGCCUGAAAGGGUGGACGGCCACAUUGGGACUGAGAUACGGCCCAGACUCCUACGGGAGGCAGCAGUGGGGAAUAUUGCACAAUGGGCGCAAGCCUGAUGCAGCGACGCCGCGGGGGGGAUGACGGCCUUCGGGUUGUAAACUCCUUUCGCUAGGGACGAAGCUUUUUGUGACGGUACCUAGAUAAGAAGCACCGGCUAACUACGUG
rnacentral:rRNA from 1 species